GUGGGGAAUCUUAGACAAUGGGGGAAACCCUGAUCUAGCCAUGUCGCGUGAGCGAUGAAGGCCUUAGGGUUGUAAAGCUCUUUCAGCUGGGAAGAUAAUGACGGUACCAGCAGAAGAAGCCCCGGCUAACUCCGUGCCAGCAGCCGCGGUAAUACGGAGGGGGCUAGCGUUGUUCGGAAUUACUGGGCGUAAAGCGCACGUAGGCGGAUCAGAAAGUCAGAGGUGAAAUCCCAGGGCUCAACCUUGGAACUGCCUUUGAAACUCCUGGUCUUGAGGUCGAGAGAGGUGAGUGGAAUUCCGAGUGUAGAGGUGAAAGUCGUAGAUAUUCGGAGGAACACCAGUGGCGAAGGCGGCUCACUGGCUCGAUACUGACGCUGAGGUGCGAAAGCGUGGGGAGCAAACAGGAUUAGAUACCCGAGUAGUCC
rnacentral:rRNA from 1 species